rnacentral:rRNA from 1 species
GACGAACGCUGGCGGCGUGCCUAAUACAUGCAAGUAGGACGCAGUUGCGAACGGGUGAGUAACGCGUAGGUAACUACCUAUUAGAGGGGGAUAACUAUUGGAAACGAUAGCUAAUACCGCAUACUAGUAGAUGGACCUGCGUUGUAUUAGCUAGUCGGUAGGGUAAAGGCCUACCUAGGCAACGAUACAUAGCCGGCCCGGGAGGGUGGACGGCCCCAAUGGGACUGAGAACCGGCCCAGACUCCUACGGGAGGGAGCAGUAGGGGAUCUUCGGCAAUGGGGGGAAACCUGACCGAGCAACGCCGCGUGAGUGAAGAAGGUUUUCGGAUCGUAAAGGUCUGUUCUUAAGGAAGCGGUACUUAACCAGAAAGCGACGGCUAACUACGUGCCAGCAGCCGCGGUAAUUC